rnacentral:rRNA from 1 species
GACGAACGCUGGCGGCGUGCUUAACACAUGCAAGUCGAACGGAAAGGCCCUGCUUUUGUGGGGUGCUCGAGUGGCGAACGGGUGAGUAACACGUGAGUAACCUGCCCUUGACUUUGGGAUAACUUCAGGAAACUGGGGCUAAUACCGUAUAGGAGCUCCUGCUGCAGGGUGGGGGUUGGAAAGUUUCGGCGGUUGGGGAUGGACUCGCGGCUUAUCAGCUUGUUGGUGGGGUAGUGGCUUACCAAGGCUUUGACGGGUAGCCGGCCUGAGAGGGUGACCGGCCACAUUGGGACUGAGAUACGGCCCAGACUCCUACGGGAGGCAGCAGUGGCGAAUAUUGCACAGUGGGAGGAAGCCUGAUGCAGAAACGCCGCGUGCGGGAUGACGGCCUUCGGGUUGUAAACCGCUUUCGCCUGUGACGCAGCGUGAGUGACGGUAAUGGGUAAAGAAGCACCGGCUAACUACGUG